AAUGUUGUUGAGGUGCUUGGGGGGGGGCGUGGUGUUUUCUCAGGUAACAUACAAAGAGCUAGGGCUUUUAGGGGCAUUGCACUUUGCUUGUUGAGAGGCAAUGAGGCUGUGUAUGGAUAUUGCGGUGCCACUGCUGGCUAUGGUGCACAUGACCUACAUCUGUGAAGCAGCUCUGCUGAGGAAAUCCACAGCGGCUGACUUCCUAAGACCAGUAAGAGAGAAGCGUGCUGCAGAGUGUUUCCCUGCAGGCUGCAGUAUGGAGGACAGUGAUGCUGAGGAGCUACUGGAGGCCAACUCACACUACGUGAGUUCAGGCUGGCAGACACACUGGAGUAUAGACAAAGGACAGUCCGAAGAUGCUGUUGAAUGGUGGCACUGGGGCAGGGGUGAACUCGAGUCCUGGUAGUGAGGCUACGGUGGAGGAAGGCUCAGGGAUGUAGCCCUGGGAUGUACUGUUGCAUCAUCAGGCCAACGCCAGGAGAGCUGCAGCAGACAGACAGGAGAUGCAUGGGUCUUAUCUAUAACGAAUGACAAAAUGCAAGGCCAAAUAUUCCACUUUAUUAAUCAUUAUCUUUUGGGAUGGGUGGAAUUAUAAAAACUUUAAAUAAUGGAAAUAUAGAAUUCCAGGGUCUUUGUGAAAGAUGGAUUUAUUAUAAUAUUGUUAUUGUCUCUGCUUUGUCAAACCAUUUGAUUUAUGAUUUGGGAGUCUACUAAGAUUUGUUUCACAGUACUUCUUGAUUUUUAACAAAAAACGGCUAACACUUGUUAUAUUAGUUAAAGAAUCAUAUAAUUGCCUACCUUCAUAUUGGUGCUUCGUAAGAAUGGUGCUCAGUACCUCAUUUAUUUUGCAAGUUAUCUUUGUAGAAUCAUAGAUCUUAAACUGCAUAGGUACAGCUCUUUAUAAGCCAUGAAUUGUCCAAAUGAAAUAUUUCCCACUUUGACAGUUAAGAAUGGUAAAACUCGAACUAUGAGAAGUAAUUGAAGUUGAUAUACUAAAUUAUAUUAUGUGGAGCAAUGGAAAAUAUUUGUAUAAUAUUUUGACAAUGUACUUUUUGAAGAUUUGCAAACAAAAUGCUUUUACCAUUUACAACUAAUUUUACAAAAUUCCAUUGUAAUGUGCCUACUCCCAAGUCAAAAAUUAUAGGGAAUUAUCCCUGACCUGUAUCACCUGUAUUUAAACAUCCAACUUACUGAUUUAGAAAUAUAUAGGCAGGCCUACUUUAGAAAUGUCUGUGUAAAUAUCUCAAUAAAUGCAUAUUUUAAUCAA
ensembl:lncRNA